rnacentral:misc_RNA from 1 species
GCAAACUUGGUCAUUUAGAGGAAGUAAAAGUCGUAACAAGGUUUCCGUAGGUGAACCUGCGGAAGGAUCAUUAACCAGCCGUGAAGGUCGCCCCGAAAGGGCAACGGCCUCUCACCCGGCCACCCUUGCUUACUUAAACCUGUUGCUUUGGUGGGCCCACCGCGAGGUCGCCGGGGAACCUGGGUUCCCGGGCCCGUGCCCACCAAAGUCCUUACCGAACCCUGCAAGUUUUUAAUGUUGUCUGAGUGUGAAAGCAAAACCUUUUAAAACUUUCAACAACGGAUCUCUUGGUUCUGGCAUCGAUGAAGAACGCAGC